AGUGAACGCUGGCGGUAGGCCUAACACAUGCAAGUCGAACGGCAGCACAGGAGAGCUUGCUCUCUGGGUGGCGAGUGGCGGACGGGUGAGGAAUACAUCGGAAUCUACUCUGUCGUGGGGGAUAACGUAGGGAAACUUACGCUAAUACCGCAUACGACCUACGGGUGAAAGCAGGGGACCUUCGGGCCUUGCGCGAUUGAAUGAGCCGAUGUCGGAUUAGCUAGUUGGCGGGGUAAAGGCCCACCAAGGCGACGAUCCGUAGCUGGUCUGAGAGGAUGGUCGGCAACACUGGAACGGAGACACGGUCAAGACUCCUACGGGAGGCAGCAAUGGGGAAUAUUGGACUAUGGGCGCAAGCCUGAUCCAGCCAUACCGCGUGGGUGAAGAAGGCCUUCGGGUUGUAAAGCACUUUUGUUGGGAAAGAAAUCCAGCUGGCUAAUACCCGGUUGGGAUGACGUUACCCAAAGAAUAAGCACCGGCUAACUGCGUGCCAGCCGCCGCCGUAA
rnacentral:rRNA from 1 species